rnacentral:rRNA from 1 species
GACGAACGCUGGCGGCGUGCUUAACACAUGCAAGUCGAAGGAAGUGUCGCACGGGGGAGUAAUAUAUAGCUAAUAUGCCCCUUGCUGGAGGACAACAGUUAGAAAUGACUGUUAAUACUCCAUAGCAAGGGAUGAGACGAUAUCGUAUCAGCUAGUCGAUGGGGUAACGGCCUACCGAGGCGAUGACGCGUAACUGGUCUGAGGGGAUGAUCAGGCGCUUUGUAAGUGAGACACGGUCCACAAUCCUAGUGGAGGCAGCAGUAGGGGAUGUUACGCAAUGCGGGAGUCCCUGACGGCGCCACGCCGCGUGGAGGAUGACACGUUUCGGAGCGUAAACUCCUUUUUUUAGGGAAGCGUUACCUAACGAAUAAGCACCGGCUAACUCCGUGCCAGCAGCCGCGGUAAUAC